rnacentral:sRNA from 1 species
AACGAAUUCAAUCCUGUUUGGCGCCGC